rnacentral:rRNA from 1 species
AUUGAACGCUGGCGGCAGGCCUAACACAUGCAAGUCGAACGAGUGGCGGACGGGUGAGUAAUGUCUGGGAAUCUAGCUUAUGGAGGGGGAUAACUACGGGAAACUGUAGCUAAUACCGCGUACCAUAGGAUGAGCCCAAGUGGGAUUAGGUAGUUGGUGAGGUAAAGGCUCACCAAGCCGACGAUCCCUAGCUGGUCUGAGAGGAUGACCAGCCACACUGGGACUGAGACACGGUCCAGACUCCUACGGGAGGCAGCAGUGGGGAAUAUUGCGCAAUGGGCGCAAGCCUGACGCAGCCAUGCCGCGUGUAUGAAGAAGGCCUUCGGGUUGUAAAGUUCUUUCGGUAGCGAGGCGUUACCUACAGAAGAAGCACCGGCUAACUCCGUGCCAGCAGCCGCGGUAAUUC